rnacentral:rRNA from 1 species
AGCUACACAUGCAGUCGAGCGGUAGCACAGAGAGCUUGCUCUCGGGUGACGAGCGGCGGACGGGUGAGUAAUGUCUGGGAAACUGCCUGAUGGAGGGGGAUAACUACUGGAAACGGUAGCUAAUACCGCAUAAUGUCGCAAGACCAAAGUGGGGGACCUUCGGGCCUCAUGCCAUCAGAUGUGCCCAGAUGGGAUUAGCUAGUAGGUGGGGUAACGGCUCACCUAGGCGACGAUCCCUAGCUGGUCUGAGAGGAUGACCAGCCACACUGGAACUGAGACACGGUCCAGACUCCUACGGGAGGCAGCAGUGGGGAAUAUUGCACAAUGGGCGCAAGCCUGAUGCAGCCAUGCCGCGUGUGUGAAGAAGGCCUUCGGGUUGUAAAGCACUUUCAGCGGGGAGGAAGGCGGUGAGGUUAAUAACCUUGUCGAUUGACGUUACCCGCAGAAGAAGCACCGGCUAACUCCGUGCCAGCAGCCGCGGUAAUACGGAGGGUGCAAGCGUUAAUCGGAAUUACUGGGCGUAAAGCGCACGCAGGCGGUCUGUCAAGUCGGAUGUGAAAUCCCCGGGCUCAACCUGGGAACUGCAUUCGAAACUGGCAGGCUAGAGUCUUGUAGAGGGGGGUAGAAUUCCAGGUGUAGCGGUGAAAUGCGUAGAGAUCUGGAGGAAUACCGGUGGCGAAGGCGGCCCCCUGGACAAAGACUGACGCUCAGGUGCGAAAGCGUGGGGAGCAAACAGGAUUAGAUACCCUGGUAGUCCACGCCGUAAACGAUGUCGAUUUGGAGGUUGUGCCCUUGAGGCGUGGCUUCCGGAGCUAACGCGUUAAAUCGACCGCCUGGGGAGUACGGCCGCAAGGUUAAAACUCAAAUGAAUUGACGGGGGCCCGCACAAGCGGUGGAGCAUGUGGUUUAAUUCGAUGCAACGCGAAGAACCUUACCUGGUCUUGACAUCCACAGAACUUUCCAGAGAUGGAUUGGUGCCUUCGGGAACUGUGAGACAGGUGCUGCAUGGCUGUCGUCAGCUCGUGUUGUGAAAUGUUGGGUUAAGUCCCGCAACGAGCGCAACCCUUAUCCUUUGUUGCCAGCGGUUCGGCCGGGAACUCAAAGGAGACUGCCAGUGAUAAACUGGAGGAAGGUGGGGAUGACGUCAAGUCAUCAUGGCCCUUACGACCAGGGCUACACACGUGCUACAAUGGCAUAUACAAAGAGAAGCGACCUCGCGAGAGCAAGCGGACCUCAUAAAGUAUGUCGUAGUCCGGAUUGGAGUCUGCAACUCGACUCCAUGAAGUCGGAAUCGCUAGUAAUCGUAGAUCAGAAUGCUACGGUGAAUACGUUCCCGGGCCUUGUACACACCGCCCGUCACACCAUGGGAGUGGGUUGCAAAAGAAGUAGGUAGCUUAACCUUCGGGAGGGCGCUACCAC